GCAAGUCGAGCGGUAACAUUUCUAGCUUGCUAGAAGAUGACGAGCGGCGGACGGGUGAGUAAUGCUUGGGAAUAUGCCUUAUGGUGGGGGACAACAGUUGGAAACGAUGGCUAAUACCGCAUAAUGCCUACGGGCCAAAGAGGGGGACCUUCGGGCCUCUCGCGUCAAGAUAUGCCUAGGUGGGAUUAGCUAGUUGGUGAGGUAAUGGCUCACCAAGGCGACGAUCCCUAGCUGGUCUGAGAGGAUGAUC
rnacentral:rRNA from 1 species